AACGAACGCUGGCGGCAGGCUUAACACAUGCAAGUCGAGCGCCCCGCAAGGGGAGCGGCAGACGGGUGAGUAACGCGUGGGAAUCUACCCAUCUCUACGGGAUAACGCAUGGAAACGUGUGCUAAUACCGUAUACGUCCUUCGGGAGAAAGAUUUAUCGGAGAUGGAUGAGCCCGCGUUGGAUUAGCCAGGUGGUGGGGUAAAGGUCUACCAAGGCGACGAUCCAUAGCUGGUCUGAGAGGAUGAUCAGCCACACGGGGACUAGGACACGGCCCAGACUCCUUCGGGAGGCAGCAGUGGGGAAUAUUGGACAAUGGGCGCAAGCCUGAUCCAGCCAUGCCGCGUGAGUGAUGAAGGCCCUAGGGUUGUAAAGCUCUUUCACCGGUGAAGAUAAUGACGGUAACCGGAGAAGAAGCCCCGGCUAACUUCGUGCCAGCCGCCGCCGUAAAAC
rnacentral:rRNA from 1 species